GUGAACGCUGGCGGCAGGCCUAAUACAUGCAAGUCGAACGGCAGCACAGCAGAGCUUGCUCUGUGGGUGGCGAGUGGCGGACGGGUGAGGAAUACGUGGGAAUCUGCCCAGUCGUGGGGGAUAACGUAGGGAAACUUACGCUAAUACCGCAUGCGCCCUUCGGGGGAAAGCCGGGGACCUUCGGGCCUGGCGCGAUUGGAUGAGCCCACGUCGGAUUAGCUAGUUGGCGGGGUAAAGGCCCACCAAGGCGACGAUCCGUAGCUGGUCUGAGAGGAUGAUCAGCCACACUGGAACUGAGACACGGUCCAGACUCCUACGGGAGGCAGCAGUAGGGAAUAUUGGACAAUGGGCGCAAGCCUGAUCCAGCCAUGCCGCGUGAGUGAAGAAGGCCCUCGGGUUGUAAAGCUCUUUUGUCCGGAAAGAAAAGCGCCGGGUUAAUACCCUGGUGUCCUGACGGUACCGGAAGAAUAAGCACCGGCUAACUUCGUG
rnacentral:rRNA from 1 species